rnacentral:rRNA from 1 species
AUUGAACGCUGGCGGCAUGCCUUACACAUGCAAGUCGAACGGCAGCACGGGGGCAACCCUGGUGGCGAGUGGCGAACGGGUGAGUAAUGCAUCGGAACGUGCCCAGUAGUGGGGGAUAACUAGUCGAAAGAUUAGCUAAUACCGCAUACGACCUAUGGGUGAAAGCGGGGGAUUCGCAAGAACCUCGCGCUAUCGGAGCGGCCGAUGUCUGAUUAGCUAGUGGCGGGGUAAAGGCCCACCAAGGCUUCGAUCAGUAGCUGGUCUGAGAGGACGACCAGCCACACUGGGACUGAGACACGGCCCAGACUCCUACGGGAGGCAGCAGUGGGGAAUUUUGGACAAUGGGCGCAAGCCUGAUCCAGCCAUGCCGCGUGCGGGAAGAAGGCCU